GAUGAAGAACGUAGUGAAAUGCGAUAAGUAGUGUGAAUUGCAGAAUUCAGUGAAUCAUCGAAUCUUUGAACGCACAUUGCGCCCCUUGGUAUCCCGAGGGGCAUGCCUGUUCGAGCGUCAUUUCACCACUCAAGCCUGGCUUGGUGUUGGGCGACGUCCCCUUUGGGGACGCGCCUCGAAACGCUCGGCGGCGUGGCACCGGCUUUAAGCGUAGCAGAAUCUUUCGCUUUGGAAGUCGGGGCCCCGUCUGCCGGAAGACCUACUCGCAAGGUUGACCUCGGAUCAGGCAGGGAUACCCGCUGAACUUAAGCAUACAAUAAGCGGAGGA
rnacentral:misc_RNA from 1 species